UACGGAGGGGGCAAGCGUUGUUCGGAAUUACUGGGCGUAAAGGGCGCGCAGGCGGCGUCGCUAGUCAGGUGUGAAAUCCCCAGGCUUAACCUGGGAACUGCACUUGAUACUGCGAUGCUAGAGUUCGGAAGAGGGUAGUGGAAUUCCCAGUGUAGAGGUGAAAUUCGUAGAUAUUGGGAAGAACACCAGUGGCGAAGGCGGCUACCUGGUCCGAUACUGACGCUGAGGCGCGAAAGCGUGGGGAGCAAAC
rnacentral:rRNA from 1 species